GGGGUUAUGGCUCAGAGGUAGAGCACUCACCUACAAUGCGUGGGGCACUGAGUUCGAUCCUCAGAACCACA
rnacentral:tRNA from 1 species